UAGCUGGCCUAGUUGCCACCAAGGAGCUGC
rnacentral:piRNA from 1 species